AUUGAACGCUGGCGGCAGGCCUAACACAUGCAAGUCGAACGAGUGGCGGACGGGUGAGUAAUGUCUGGGAAACUGCCCGAUGGAGGGGGGUUACUACUGGAAACGGUAGCUAAUACCGCAUACCAUCAGAUGUGCCCGGAGGGGAUUAGCUCGUAGGUGGGGUAACGGCUAACCUAGGCGACGAUCCCUAGCUGGUCUGAGAGGAUGACCGGCCAACCUGGAACUGAGACACGGUCCAGACGCCUACGGGAGGCAGCAGUGGGGAAUAUUGCACAAUGGGCGCAAGCCUGAUGCAGCCAGGCCGCGUGUAUGAAGACGGCCUUCGGGUUGUAAAGUACGUUCAGCGAGGAGGCGUUACUCGCAGAAGAAGCACCGGCUAACUCCGUGCCAGCAGCCGCGGUAAUUC
rnacentral:rRNA from 1 species